rnacentral:lncRNA from 1 species
UUCAAAUUUCUUGCUGGUUUACGUGGCUUUUGGAGUUUUCCUUGUAAACAGGUUGGUUUCUCUUUAUUAUCUUGUUUCUCUGUUUCUAAAGUGAUGAAUCCAAUGUCUAACUUGCUGUAGAAGACAAACUGAAUUUUACCCAAAUUAGGAAACUUGAUAAAUUAGCACCUUUUCCUGCAUAAACACUAGGGGCCUGGUUUGGGGUUUCAAAAUUGUCUAAACUGUAGUGUUAAAUUCCUAUUUUGUAUUGUGAUUUUUCCUCGUAGCAGUAAAUCUAGUAUAUGAACGCCUUUGAUGACAUGCAACUAGUUUCCUUUGUUUACACCUUUUGAAUUUAGCGUAGAAUUGUUUGGUCUUCCCUUUGAUUUCCGGUUUCUGUUUCUAGGAAUCCGUGAGGUUGACCGCCCCCACCUUUGCUUUAAAUUAUCGUAAAAUCCGGCAGACAUGACUGGUGAAAAAGAUAAUGAGAGAAAAGGUAAAGAAAAAGAACCCGAAGGGGCUACGGUUUCUGGAAGGGAAAUCACAGAAUCCACCCCGGGAGGGUCGAGGCGCAAAAGGCCUGAUAGUGCUUACUUCUUAGAUGCGUUUAAUCCUGUUACCUUCAAG